rnacentral:rRNA from 1 species
GACGAACGCUGGCGGCGUGCUUAACACAUGCAAGUCGAACGGUAAGGCUCCAGCUUGCUGGGGUACACGAGUGGCGAACGGGUGAGUAACACGUGGGUGACCUGCCCUGCACUUCGGGAUAAGCCUGGGAAACUGGGUCUAAUACCGGAUAGGACCAUGGUGUGGAUACUGUGGUGGAAAGUUUUUUCGGUGUGGGAUGGGCCCGCGGCCUAUCAGCUUGUUGGUGGGGUAAUGGCCUACCAAGGCGGCGACGGGUAGUCGGCCUGAGAGGGUGGACGGCCACAUUGGGACUGAGACACGGCCCAGACUCCUACGGGAGGCAGCAGUGGGGAAUAUUGCACAAUGGGCGGAAGCCUGAUGCAGCGACGCCGCGUGGGGGAUGACGGCCUUCGGGUUGUAAACUCCUUUCACCAUCGACGAAGGGUUUCUGACGGUAGAUGGAGAAGAAGCACCGGCUAACUACGU